GAUGAACGCUGGCGGCGUGCCUAAUACAUGCAAGUCGAGCGAACAGACGAGGAGCUUGCUCCUUUGACGUUAGCGGCGGACGGGUGAGUAACACGUGGGUAACCUACCUAUAAGACUGGGAUAACUUCGGGAAACCGGAGUUAAUACCGGAUAAUAUUUCGAACCGCAUGGUUCGAUAGUGAAAGAUGGCUUUGCUAUCACUUAUAGAUGGACCUGCGCCGUAUUAGCUAGUUGGUAAGGUAGCGGCUUACCAAGGCAACGAUACGUAGCCGACCUGAGAGGGUGAUCGGCCACACUGGAACUGAGACACGGUCCAGACUCCUACGGGAGGCAGCAGUAGGGAAUCUUCCGCAAUGGGCGAAAGCCUGACGGAGCAACGCCGCGUGAGUGAUGAAGGUCUUCGGAUUGUAAAACUCUGUUAUUAGGGAAGAACAAACGUGUAAGUAACUGUGCACGUCUUGACGGUACCUAAUCAGAAAGCCACGGCUAACUACGUGCCAGCAGCCGCGGUAAUACGUAGGUGGCAAGCGUUAUCCGGAAUUAUUGGGCGUAAAGCGCGCGUAGGCGGUUUUUUAAGUCUGAUGUGAAAGCCCACGGCUCAACCGUGGAGGGUCAUUGGAAACUGGAAAACUUGAGUGCAGAAGAGGAAAGUGGAAUUCCAUGUGUAGCGGUGAAAUGCGCAGAGAUAUGGAGGAACACCAGUGGCGAAGGCGACUUUCUGGUCUGUAACUGACGCUGAUGUGCGAAAGCGUGGGGAUCAAACAGGAUUAGAUACCCUGGUAGUCCACGCCGUAAACGAUGAGUGCUAAGUGUUAGGGGGUUUCCGCCCCUUAGUGCUGCAGCUAACGCAUUAAGCACUCCGCCUGGGGAGUACGACCGCAAGGUUGAAACUCAAAGGAAUUGACGGGGACCCGCACAAGCGGUGGAGCAUGUGGUUUAAUUCGAAGCAACGCGAAGAACCUUACCAAAUCUUGACAUCCUUUGACCCUUCUAGAGAUAGAAGCUUCCCCUUCGGGGGACAAAGUGACAGGUGGUGCAUGGUUGUCGUCAGCUCGUGUCGUGAGAUGUUGGGUUAAGUCCCGCAACGAGCGCAACCCUUAAGCUUAGUUGCCAUCAUUAAGUUGGGCACUCUAAGUUGACUGCCGGUGACAAACCGGAGGAAGGUGGGGAUGACGUCAAAUCAUCAUGCCCCUUAUGAUUUGGGCUACACACGUGCUACAAUGGACAAUACAAAGGGCAGCGAAACCGCGAGGUCAAGCAAAUCCCAUAAAGUUGUUCUCAGUUCGGAUUGUAGUCUGCAACUCGACUACAUGAAGCUGGAAUCGCUAGUAAUCGUAGAUCAGCAUGCUACGGUGAAUACGUUCCCGGGUCU
rnacentral:rRNA from 1 species